rnacentral:lncRNA from 1 species
UGCUGCUGGAGGACCCGGAGGCUCCGACGAGGCCGAUCCGAGCCGGGCUGGGGCAUCACAGCCUCCAAAUCUGAGUUAGAGCUCAUUACCCGCAAUUAAUGCUGCUCCCAGUUCACACCAGUCACCGGGAGCGAGGGGCCCGGCGCUCCCCAGUUCAGCCCCAGCGGGUGAAGCCCCCCCGGGACUCUCCCCCCGCCUCCCUUUGGGGUCAGGCACGGGGAGCUGUGGAGCAACCCCGGGAUUCUGGAUUUACCAGCCCUCCUCCCACUGCGGGCAGCCUGUAAUUAGCCGCGCGCUUAAUGAGUUUUGGGGAAGUUUUGGGUGCAGCCCGCCCGUGGUGCCCUCCCUCCCUCCCUCCCUCCCGCGGGACCCACAAAUAGCAGGGAGCGCCGCGGAGCUCCAGCAUUCCCGAGCCGCUCCCGGGACUCCCAAACCGCUUCCCGAGGGACGAUGGAGCCCUGGAUCCUCCUGGUGGGGGCAGGAAUUGCCCUGGGCUGCGUGUCCGGCCACCUGUACACGCCCCCCGAGUCCUGCGAGGGACGCUGCGGGGAGCCCUUCAGCGAGGAGGACGAGUGUCAUUGUCACCCCGAGUGCGGGACACAGCACAACUGCUGCGAGGACUACGAGAGGCACUGCGGGCCCGGUGGGGAAGGGGCCGAGGGUGGAGCUCGGAGCCGCGGUGAGUCAGGAGGGACAGGACCUCCCCCAGGUGCCCCAGGAAUGUCCCCACCCUGUUCCAGGGAUGUCCCCCCUGUCCCUCGGGUGUCACCUCCUUGUUCCUCGGGUGUCCCCCCUGUCCCUCUGGGUGUCACCUCCUUGAUCCUCGGGUGUCCCCCCUGUCCCUCGGGUGUCACCUCCUUGUUCCUCGGGUGUCCCCCC